rnacentral:rRNA from 1 species
UGGGGAAUAUUGGACAAUGGACGAAAGCCUGAUCCAGCCAUGCCGCGUGAGUGACGAAGGCCUUAGGGUUGUAAAACUCUUUCGUCGGGGACGAUAAUGACGGUACCCGAAGAAGAAGCUCCGGCUAACUUCGUGCCAGCAGCCGCGGUAAUACGAAGGGAGCUAGCGUUGUUCGGAUUUACUGGGCGUAAAGCGCGUGUAGGCGGGUCGUUAAGUUGGGGGUGAAAUCCCGAGGCUCAACCUCGGAACUGCCUUCAAAACUGGCGACCUGGACUCAAGCAGAGGCAAGUGGAAUUGCGAGUGUAGAGGUGAAAUUCGUAGAUAUUCGCAGGAACACCAGUGGCGAAGGCGACUUGCUGGGCUUGUAGUGACGCUGAGACGCGAAAGCGUGGGGAGCAAACAGGAUUAGAUACCCAAGUAGUCCCUGAGCGGGCUGGCAAGGCGCAU